rnacentral:rRNA from 1 species
CACUCCUGCGGGAGGCAGCAGUGGGGAAUAUUGGACAAUGGGCGCAAGCCUGAUCCAGCCAUGCCGCGUGAGUGAUGAAGGCCCUAGGGUUGUAAAGCUCUUUCACCGGUGAAGAUAAUGACGGUAACCGGAGAAGAAGCCCCGGCUAACUUCGUGCCAGCAGCCGCGGUAAUACGAAGGGGGCUAGCGUUGUUCGGAUUUACUGGGCGUAAAGCGCACGUAGGCGGACUAUUAAGUCAGGGGUGAAAUCCCGGGGCUCAACCCCGGAACUGCCUUUGAUACUGGUAGUCUUGAGUUCGAGAGAGGUGAGUGGAAUUCCGAGUGUAGAGGUGAAAUUCGUAGAUAUUCGGAGGAACACCAGUGGCGAAGGCGGCUCACUGGCUCGAUACUGACGCUGAGGUGCGAAAGCGUGGGGAGCAAACAGGAUUAGAAACCCUGGUAGUCCCAU